rnacentral:misc_RNA from 1 species
GUGGUGGGGUGGGGUGGGGCAGAGGAGAUUUGAUCCAAUCUAAAUGUUGAUUUUUUUUUUAAAGAAAAAAAAUGCCAGUUUGAAGUUUGUACCAGCCUGGACUGGUCUGGUUGAAAUGAGAGAGAAAACCAGUUCCUAUCCAGUUUGGGCCUAUGGAGAUCACAUUCCUGAAGUAUUCGGCAGUAUAUUGAUUGCAUCUUCAAUUACUAUGGCUGUAGCCCUUCUUGCUUUAUUGUGGCACUUACUUAUGUGGAUAGAUUUAUAAAAAGCGCGGAUGUUCAUUUAACUUCCCUUAAUGUUCACCGGCUCUUAAUGACAAGUGUAAUGGUGGCUGCAAAGUUCAUUGAUGAUGCAUAAGUAUCAAUUCCCAAACUUUGAUUUAUAUUUGUAUAGUUCCUCAGGUUGAGUUCAACCUGCUGGAUUAACAUGAGCAAAUAAGCAUGGCAUACAGUUUGUUUUUGAAAAACUUUUGCUUUUGGGUGGGUACUCCUUGGACUAGAUAAUGACUAUGUCUUGUGUAGCCUGAUUGAAAAUCCAUUAGUCAAUCAGCAAAUAAUUGAUUAUAGGCAAAUUAGAUUGAAUUUGCAUAUUUUGUUGUUCUGUCUCUGGUUUUUCAGAUUCUUCAACAAUGCAUACUAUGCCAAAGUGGGAGGAGUAAGCACAGCAGAACUGAACAGGUUGGAGAUGAAGUUUUUGUUUAGUAUAGAUUUCAGGCUUCGCGUAGAUGUCAACACGUUUGUAAGAUAUUGUUCUCAGUUGGAAAAAGAAGCUGCUGAAGGGCUUCAGAUUGAACGAUCAAUCCAAGCCUGCAGAAUCAAAGAAAGCUGGUCAAACAAAGAUGAUUCAACCACUUGUGCUCCUACGAUUGCAAGAUGAAGAUUCCAAAUCAUCUCGCUGUGUCAUUGUAAUCCUACAUUCAUUUAAAUACUGUAAAGUUGGAAAUUCAUUGGUCUAUGUUCUCAUUUUUUUCAAUAUUUGGCCCCUGCAAUUUCCUUUUCAGUGGUGUUGCUCCUCAAGGUUUGUGAUGUUAGUUCAUGGAAAAGUUUGUAUGUGCAGAUUCAAACAAUUUUAUGGGUACAAAAUUUGAUUGCUUGUUUGGUCUGAGUUUGGUUUAGGCGAGUCUUUUCUGUAGCUUUUUUGGAAUGAAGAAUUUAUAGUAAUAAUGGGGAUGCUUCAAAUUAGCUGAAAUACUUUUGGAUCAUCUUUCUGAUGAGUAUAACUAUUGUGGUUUGCUAGCGUGAAUUAAUGCAAGAAUUCAGGUUG